ACCAGUAUGGCAUAGUGGUUUGAGCAUUGGAUUAUGACUCUGGAGACCAGGGUUCAAAUCCCCACUCAGCCA
rnacentral:tRNA from 1 species